rnacentral:tRNA from 1 species
CGGGGUGUAGCUUAGCCUGGUAGAGCGCCUGCUUUGGGAGCAGGAGGUCGUGAGUUCGAAUCUCGCCGCCCCGACCA